UAAAUACUCCCUCCGUCCGGAAAUACUUGUCAUCAGGAUGAACAAAAGGUGGUGUAUCUAGACACAUUUUAGUUCUAGAUACAUCCCUUUUUAUCCAUUUUUGAUGACAACUAUUUUUGGACGGAGGGAGUAACAG
rfam:Triticum aestivum genome assembly, contig: Triticum_aestivum_CS42_TGACv1_scaffold_320778_4BL